rnacentral:lncRNA from 1 species
UGCUCGUUGGCCUGUUUGUUAAGCUCGGCGAUGAGACGGUCGUCCCAGACUAUGCCAGAGGAGCCCUGUCGGCGGAAGGAGAUGUUGGAUCUCUGAAGACCCGCCAUGGAUGGCGGUAACUGUUCCUCCUUUUCCUCCGUCUUUCUUUGUUGUCUGAGGUUCUCUCUCUGUCUGGUUUUUUGGAUGUUUGCUAAAAGUGGUUGAUCACUGUGUUUCAGACUUGAUUCAUUUCUUCAUAUCCCUUAUCCCAAAUAUUUAAAAUAAGUUAUCUCCCUUCCUACCAUUUAUAUCUUUUAGUCGGCUAGCUGCUUCUUGAAAUGAAAUGACCAAAUAUUAUCUUAGCUACGUAGUUAAACGGGAGAUAAAACUCGGUCAAAGCAACGGAUAAUUAUGGGAGUAGAUUUUGUGUGGUUAGGUGUAGAAAAUUAAAAUCUAUUUUAACGUAAAGCUUUAUCCAUUUAUCUGCCAAAUCAAAAUUUCAUUUGAAUUGGUCAUCGCAUAAUUUCAGCAAAAUGGAUUAAGUUUUUCUUUUUUGGUAAAAUAACAUGGAUUAAGUUUUUUUUUUUUUUGGGUGUAAAACAUGGAUUAAGUUGUUCUUUAUUUCUUACAGAAAUCCAUCGACGCUGUGUUUGAUUAUGUUGAAACAACAAAUACCGGCAGAUGACUGAUUAUUGGAGAUUAAAAAUCAUUAAUCACAGAAAUUGUAAAGC